GGAAAUAGCUCAGAGGUAGAGUCCAUGCUUAGCAUACAUAAGGUCCUGGGUUCAAUCCCUAGUACUUCUA
rnacentral:tRNA from 1 species